rnacentral:lncRNA from 1 species
GAGUUCAUUGGGGUGAGCAUAUCAGUGAUGUCGAGACCCAUCUUCUUCAGUAUCUUGGUGAGCAGUACAUUGAGACUGCUACCGCCAUCAAUGAGUACUUUUGUGAGUCUGGAGCCAGCAACAACUGGGUCCAGGAUGAGAGGAUACCGUCCUAGGUCUGAGAAACUAGUCCAUUGGUCCUUCCUGGAGAAGGUAAUUGGUACCUCGGACCAUUCGAGGAAUGUUGGUGUUGCA